rnacentral:rRNA from 1 species
GCUUGUCUCAAAGAUUAAGCCAUGCAUGUCUUAGUGUAAAUAACUCUUAUGAAACUGCGAAUGGCUCAUUAAAUCAGUUAUCAAAUACGUGAUGGUCGCCUACUACAUGGAUAACUGUAGAAAAACUAGAGCUAAUACAUGCCAUAACCGUAAGGUUGUAUUUAUUAGAUAUUCCUGGUAGGUGAUUCAUAAUAACUUAGCGAAUCGUGACUCGUUCACGAUAAAUCAUUCAAGUUUCUGCCCUAUCAUGCUUUCGAUGGUAGUGUAUUGGACUACCAUGGCUCUCACGGGUAACGGAGAAUUAGGGUUCGAUUCCGGAGAAGGAGCCUGAGAAACGGCUACUACAUCUAAGGAAGGCAGCAGG